rnacentral:rRNA from 1 species
UACGGGUUACCCUGUAGUUCCUGAAAACCAUUGGCGGAGUCAGGGAGCACUCUAAGCGUAUUACACAAUCUUUUUGUCUCGCUUUGGAUAUUGCCCCGCCUCCACGCCGUAAAACCCCCCAUAUCAAAUGUUGACCUCGGAUUAGGUAGGAAUACCCGCUGAACUUAAGCAUAUCAAUAAGCGGAGGAAAAGAAACCAACAGGGAUUGCCCUAGUAACGGCGAGUGAAGCGGCAACAGCUCAAAUUUGAAAUCUGGCCCUCGUGGUCCGAGUUGUAAUUUGUAGAGGAUGCUUUUGGUGCGGUGCCUUCCGAGUUCCCUGGAACGGGACGCCAGAGAGGGUGAGAGCCCCGUACGGUUGGACACCUACCCUAUAUAUAGCUCCUUCGACGAGUCGAGUAGUUUGGGAAUGCUGCUCUAAAUGGGAGGUAAAUUUCUUCUAAAGCUAAAUACCGGCCAGAGACCGAUAGCGCACAAGUAGAGUGAUCGAAAGAUGAAAAGCACUUUGAAAAGAGGGUUAAAUAGCACGUGAAAUUGUUGAAAGGGAAGCGUUUGCGACCAGACUUUUUCCAGGGGGAUCAUCCGGUGUUCUCACCGGUGCACUCCGCCUGGUUUAGGCCAGCAUCGGUUCUCUUAGGGGGAUAAAGGCUUGGGGAACGUAGCUCCUUCGGGAGUGUUAUAGCCCCUUGCGUAAUACCCUUCGGGGGACCGAGGAUCGCGCUCUGCAAGGAUGCUGGCGUAAUGGUCGUCAACGACCCGUCUUGAAACACGGACCAAGGAGUCGAACAUUUGUGCGAGUGUUUGGGUGUUAAACCCUCACGCGUAAUGAAAGUGAACGGAGGUGAGAGCCCUUACGGGUGCAUCAUCGACCGAUCCUGAUGUCUUCGGAUGGAUUUGAGUAAGAGCAUAACUGUUCGGACCCGAAAGAUGGUGAACUAUGCGUGGAUAGGGUGAAGCCAGAGGAAACUCUGGUGGAGGCUCGCAGCGGUUCUGACGUGCAAAUCGAUCGUCAAAUCUGCGCAUGGGGGCGAAAGACUUAUCGAACCAUCUAGUAGCUGGUUACCGCCNAAGUUUCCCUCAGGAUAGCAGUGUUGUUUUCAGUUUUAUGAGGUAAAGCGAAUGAUUAGGGACUCGGGGGCGCUAUUUAGCCUUCAUCCAUUCUCAAACUUUAAAUANNUAAGAAGCCCUUNUUACUUAAUUGAACGUGGGCAUUCGAAUGUAUCANCACUAGUGGGCCAUUUUUGGUAAGCAGAACUGGCGAUGCGGGAUGAACCGAACGCGGGGUUAAGGUGCCAGAGUGGACGCUCAUCAGNCACCACAAAAGGUGUUAGUACAUCUUGACAGCAGGACGGUGGCCAUGGAAGUCGGAAUCCGCUAAGGAC